GUGCUAUACAUGCAGUCGAACGAGUUCUCGUUGAUGAUCGGUGCUUGCACCGAGAUUCAACAUGGAACGAGUGGCGGACGGGUGAGUAACACGUGGGUAACCUGCCCUUAAGUGGGGGAUAACAUUUGGAAACAGAUGCUAAUACCGCAUAGAUCCAAGAACCGCAUGGUUCUUGGCUGAAAGAUGGCGUAAGCUAUCGCUUUUGGAUGGACCCGCGGCGUAUUAGCUAGUUGGUGAGGUAAUGGCUCACCAAGGCGAUGAUACGUAGCCGAACUGAGAGGUUGAUCGGCCACAUUGGGACUGAGACACGGCCCAAACUCCUACGGGAGGCAGCAGUAGGGAAUCUUCCACAAUGGACGCAAGUCUGAUGGAGCAACGCCGCGUGAGUGAAGAAGGCUUUCGGGUCGUAAAACUCUGUUGUUGGAGAAGAAUGGUCGGCAGAGUAACUGUUGUCGGCGUGACGGUAUCCAACCAGAAAGCCACGGCUAACUACGUGCCAGCAGCCGCGGUAAUACGUAGGUGGCAAGCGUUAUCCGGAUUUAUUGGGCGUAAAGCGAGCGCAGGCGGUUUUUUAAGUCUGAUGUGAAAGCCCUCGGCUUAACCGAGGAAGCGCAUCGGAAACUGGGAAACUUGAGUGCAGAAGAGGACAGUGGAACUCCAUGUUGUAGCGGUGAAAUGCGUAGAUAUAUGGAAGAACACCAGUGGCGAAGGCGGCUGUCUGGUCUGUAACUGACGCUGAGGCUCGAAAGCAUGGGUAGCGAACAGGAUUAGAUACCCUGGUAGUCCAUGCCGUAAACGAUGAAUGCUAGGUGUUGGAGGGUUUCCGCCCUUCAGUGCCGCAGCUAACGCAUUAAGCAUUCCGCCUGGGGAGUACGACCGCAAGGUUGAAACUCAAAGGAAUUGACGGGGGCCCGCACAAGCGGUGGAGCAUGUGGUUUAAUUCGAAGCAACGCGAAGAACCUUACCAGGUCUUGACAUCUUUUGAUCACCUGAGAGAUCAGGUUUCCCCUUCGGGGGCAAAAUGACAGGUGGUGCAUGGUUGUCGUCAGCUCGUGUCGUGAGAUGUUGGGUUAAGUCCCGCAACGAGCGCAACCCUUAUGACUAGUUGCCAGCAUUUAGUUGGGCACUCUAGUAAGACUGCCGGUGACAAACCGGAGGAAGGUGGGGAUGACGUCAAAUCAUCAUGCCCCUUAUGACCUGGGCUACACACGUGCUACAAUGGAUGGUACAACGAGUUGCGAGACCGCGAGGUCAAGCUAAUCUCUUAAAGCCAUUCUCAGUUCGGACUGUAGGCUGCAACUCGCCUACACGAAGUCGGAAUCGCUAGUAAUCGCGGAUCAGCACGCCGCGGUGAAUACGUUCCCGGGCCUUGUACACACCGCCCGUCACACCAUGAGAGUUUGUAACACCCGAAGCCGGUGGCGUAACCCUUUAGGGAGCGAGCCGUCUAAUG
rnacentral:rRNA from 1 species